rnacentral:rRNA from 1 species
AUUGAACGCUGGCGGCAGGCCUAACACAUGCAAGUCGAACGGUAACAGGAAGCAGCUUGCUGCUUCGCUGACGAGUGGCGGACGGGUGAGUAAUGUCUGGGAAGCUGCCUGAUGGAGGGGGAUAACUACUGGAAACGGUAGCUAAUACCGCAUAAUGUCGCAAGACCAAAGAGGGGGACCUUCGGGCCUCUUGCCAUCGGAUGUGCCCAGAUGGGAUUAGCUUGUUGGUGGGGUAACGGCCCACCAAGGCGACGAUCCCUAGCUGGUCUGAGAGGAUGACCAGCCACACUGGAACUGGGACACGGUCAUGACUCCUACGGGAGGCAGCAGUGGGGAAUAUUGCACAAUGGGCGCAAGCCUGAUGCAGCCAUGCCGCGUGUAUGAAGAAGGCCUUCGGGUUGUAAAGUACUUUCAGCGGGGAGGAGGGGAGUAAAGUUAAUACCUUUGCUCAUUGACGUUACCCGCAGAAGAAGCACCGGCUAACUCCGUG